AGCUUUGUUCAGUGGCAGUAUCGUAGCCAGUGAGGUUUAUCUGAGGCAUGAUUAUUGCUAAUUGAAAACUUUUCCCAAUACCUUGACAUGAGGACUUGAAAUAUAGUUGGCAUUAGCAAUUUUUGAUGGUCCCUAUGGGA